GAUGAACGCUGGCGGCGUGCCUAAUACAUGCAAGUCGAGCGAACAGACGAGGAGCUUGCUCCUCUGACGUUAGCGGCGGACGGGUGAGUAACACGUGGAUAACCUACCUAUAAGACUGGGAUAACUUCGGGAAACCGGAGCUAAUACCGGAUAAUAUAUUGAACCGCAUGGUUCAAUAGUGAAAGACGGUUUUGCUGUCACUUAUAGAUGGAUCCGCGCCGCAUUAGCUAGUUGGUAAGGUAACGGCUUACCAAGGCAACAAUGCGUAGCCGACCUGGGAGGGGGAAUGGCCAACAGUGGAAUGAGGAAAGGUCCAAAACACAAAGGGGGGGCGGAGAAGGGGAUCCUUCGCAAAGGGCGGAAGACUGACGGAACAACGUCCGGUGAAUGAAUAAGGUUUUCGGAUCGGAAAACUCUGUUUAUAGGGAAGGACAAAUGUGUUAGGUACUAAGCAAGUCUUGGCAGGAACUAAUCGGAAAAGCACAGCAUACUACAAG
rnacentral:rRNA from 1 species